GGGCGAGCAGCCGGUCGGCGGCGACGGCGCCCGCGCAGGGGUCGUGGGCGGGGUAGGCCUCGUACACCGGAUCCUGGCCGACGCGCUCGC
rnacentral:tRNA from 1 species